rnacentral:lncRNA from 1 species
CCCCCAACUCUAUAUAUAGGACCCCAUCUCCUCACUUUGAGACUUAGCAUUGGAUUAGCUCAUAUUUGUGUGAGAGCCUUUGCUCAUCCACUCGGUUACUUCUCCUCGGAGAUCAGGACCUCUUCGGAGAAGAUCCCCCAGCGGAUUCAAGACCCCUAUCUAGGGAAGAACAUCAAGGCCUCCUCUUGGAGAUGAACGGUUCCUUUGUAUCCUUACCUUUGUUGACUUUGUAUCUUGUGGAUCUCUUAUGUGUGUGGUGAUCUAGCACUUGUGUGAUCGAUUCCUUGUUGGUUGAGUGAUUCUCUCUCGUUCUCCCCGUGUUUCCCCUCAUGCUUCCACGUGUUCUUCGUGAUUCCUCCGUAGGAUCCCCUCCAAACGUGAAAGAUCGACGCUAUAGGGUUCCACCCUACAUCAUAUGGUAUCAUGAGCCAGGUUGAUCACGUUUUUGGAGCCCCUACCCCAUGUUUUCUAGCUUGAUUUUGUUGUUUUCGUCCUAAAUCCAAAAAUCCCCACCAAAAAUAACCCCCAUAUUUUUUGUGAUUUGUUAGUUUUGAUGAUGUUUUGUUGUUUUUGAUCCGUGGAUUCGGUGUGUAACUCAUGGAUCUUGCUUUUCCCCACCUUCUCCCCCUCGAAAUCCAUCCAAAAUCCCCGAAAUCGUCAAAUUUCAUCCCGUUUUCGUGUUCUUCCCGAGCAGUUCCCGAGAGCGGUUGACCUGCCCGGAUCAUCCGGACCCUGGCCCGGAUCAUCCGGACGCGCCCGGAUCAUCCGGACCCUGGCCCGGAUCAUCCGGACGCGCCCGGAUCAUCCGGCUCCUGCCCCAGAUCAUCCGGCUUCCGCUAUCGAAGCUGCAGUUCUGCAGUCCCCCUCCACCACCACCUCCGCCUACACCUACAUUACACCUCCCCACUCCAACCACCACCACUUCCACUUGCCAAAACCCCAAGACACAAACUCCGUACUACCAUUCGAAUUUGAGUUCGAGAAUUUGAGUUGAGAUUUCCGUGUCCUAUUGUGUUUCGGCUAUUUAGGCGCGGUCCGACAUCAACAACAACACUCAUUUUGAUCGACUACUCAUCUUCGCUAUGGACGGUAACCUCGACGACAUCUUUGUCAUACCUUGCAAUUGCAUUGAUAACCAUCAUAGACCAUCUUUUGUGUUGCUUACCUAUCGAGACUAGCCAUUGAGUAUUGCCGGCAACGUGACUUGUGCACAUUAGUUGCAUACACCAUAUCAUACAUACCAUCGUGGUGCACAUCUCGGAAUCAACUUGUGUGUCACAAAGUUGUCAUCGCAUACAAAAUUGCUAUCUUGGUUCUUCUAGUUUGCAUAAGAAAGGAGCUCAAAAGAGAAAGAGCCACUCAAGCUUUUAAGCAAAGAGGAAAGAUAAGCAAAGAGCUUAUAAGCAACAAGCAUAGCAUCAUACAACAUUAAGAUUGUCAUAUAAGAUCAUCUUGGAUCAUUGCACCAAAAUACCAUACAUAUAGCAUACUUGGGAUAGAGAUCGUUGCAUUUUUGCCUAGUAGGUUGUGCACAAGCUCCGUAUCCGCCUAUUGUGCAAUUGUGCUAGCGUCUCUCUAGUAUUGUGCAACAAGAGCAUUUUCGUGGAUUCCACAUUUUGGCUCACUUUUGGUUUGCACAAUCCCAUUUAUCUAUUUGCGUGUGUGUUUCCGUGUACCACUACUUGCUUGGUCUACUUGUUGCAUAUGCGAAUUUGCGAAUCUUCUUCAACAUUUUUGAGUCAAGCUAACGAUUGCAAUCAAUUUUGUGCCACCAUCCUAACCAAGCUCCACCAAAGGCAUUUACUUGUGUAGGUGUGAGAAUCGACAAGGAUCGGUACCAAUAGUGCUAUUUCAUUGUCCGCAUUUGAGUGAACUUGAUUCAUCUUCAACUUCGGUAAAAGGUAUAUUGGUAUUCGUUCUUCUCCUUCUACCACUCACAAUUUCCUUGAAAUGAUGGAUAGGCCAAGUUCUUCUACAAAUCCACUCUUCAUCGAACAAGACGACGACAUGUCAUCAUACGUCACCAAGAACCACCUCUUUGCCGCACAACGAGCUCUCCAUCAAGAGCAACAAGCAAUGAGCGAACGCAUCGACAACAAGCUCGACGCGCACACGAAAGAGAAUGAUGCAAGAAUGGACGAGCUCCGCGCCUUGUUGGUGAACCGGCGUCCUUCUACUUCCUCACACUCAAGACAGAGCCACUCAAGUUGCCACUCCGACGACUCCUUCUCCGGCACAAGUACACCAUCAUCGAACACUCUUCGACGAGCAGCGCGUAAAGACCGUCAUGGAUCUCGCAACCCGCUACACGACAAGCAUCCCCAAGGGCAAGUUGAUGAACAAGUUCCUCGUCCACAAUCAAACCAAGUAGAGUUUGCUCAAACUCAAGAACGACAACGUCUUCGUCGCCAACAAGAACAAGAACGAGCGCGCCUACACCAAGGGCAACAAGACGCCGAGGCACAACGUCUUCAACAACAACAACGAGAAGCACAAGAUCUUGAGGCGGAACGUGCCCUUCAAGCAUCAAGUCGAGCUAUCGCCAACUGCAAUCGCGAAAGGUGCAAUCAGUAAGAAGCCCUUCGAGAAGAAAUACAAGAGAGGAACUACCAUCCGCGUGCGCAACGUCAAGCCCCACAAGCUCCUCAAGCUCAACCACAACCUCACGGUCAACAAGAGCAAGUGGAUAAUGGACUUCCUCCUCGCCAAGAGCAACAUGAGGAUGAUUACCAUCCACGUCAAGAACGUCAUCAUCAACAUCGACCUCAACACAAUGAAGAGCAACGCUAUGGCAAGCUCAAAUUCACAAUGCCCAAGUUCAAUGGAAGCAAUGACCCCGAAGAGUACCUCUCAUGGGCAUUGAAGGUCGACAAAAUCUUUCGUUUGCACAACUAUGAGGAAGAGAAGAAGAUCGCUAUGGCAUCACUUGAGUUCCAAGACUAUGUGCUCAUAUGGUGGGAACAAGUCCUUGAGCGCCGACAAGCAAGAGGCGAACCUCAAAUCACCACUUGGGCUCAAAUGAAGGAUGUCAUGCGAGCACGUUUUGUGCCCACCUACUACAACCGUGAUCUAUUCAAGAAGCUACAACUCCUCAAGCAAGGAACAAAGAGUGUUGAAGAAUACUACCAGGAAAUGGAGAUUGCCAUGAUUCGAGCCAAUGUCACGGAAGACGAUGAGCAAACAAUGGCACGAUUGUUGAAUGGACUCAAUCAUCCCAUCAAGAAGAUCGCCGACUUCCAACCCUACUCCAACCUCAUUGAGCUCGUGCAUCAAGCUACAAAGGCGGAACGUCAAGUGCAAGAUGACUUCAAGUAUGCCAAGUAUUCCUCCAAGACACACGGCUUCUCCAACAACCAAGCUUCAACAACUACUCCAACUUCGACAUCAACCAAGCCUUCUCCAAGCAACGACGACAAGUCAAGUUACAAGAAAACUUCCACAAGUAAAAGUCGUCUUCCUCCUACUACAAGCAACCUCAAGCCGCGUGAUUCAUCAUCUACUCCAACCGAUGAGACCGUCAAGACAAGAUCCUUUAAGUGCUUCACUUGCGGCGGCCGAGGCCACAAGUCCUAUGAGUGCACCAACAAGCGCACCAUGAUCCUCAACGAUGAUGGCACCUACGACUCAAUGAGUGAGGAUGAAAUGGAAGCUAUUGAGCAAGUGGCCAUGCACCGACGCGUGAACAAGGAUGAAGAUGAUCAAGUCUUUUGUGAUGAAGAUACGAGCCCCGCUCUUGUUGUCUCCAAGGUCUUGACACUUCAACAUCAACAAGAAGAGGACCAACGAUGCCACAUCUUUCACACAAAGGCCGGCAUCAAUGGACGAUCCGUCAAGGUCAUCAUCGAUGGAGGUAGUUGCCACAACUUGGCAAGCGAAGAACUAUGCUCCAAGCUUCAUUUGGUCAAGAAGAAGUACCCGCACCCCUACAAGGUUCAAUGGCUAAGUGACUCCGGCACUAUACGAUUUGAGAAUACGGUCCAAGUAUCCUUCAAAAUAGGUGCAUAUGAGGACACUUUGGAGUGUGAUGUGGUCCCAAUGACCGUUUGCCACCUCCUCCUUGGUCGGCCAUGGCAAUUUGACCGUGGUGUCUACCACAAUGGGCGUACAAACCACUAUACCUUCAAGAUGAAAGGAAAAGCAUAUGUCCUACGACCCAUGUCUCCUAGUCAAGUGAUAGCCGACAAACAAGCCACCAACCAAAGAGAGAAGAGUGAGAAAGUGAGCCACCAAAAAGUGAGUGAGAGCCACAAGCCAAACUUGAGCGCCUCUUCGCCUAGAGAGAAAAACCUCAUACUAUUCGCCACCAAACAUGAGAUGAGAGAAGUGUGUGAGAACCCAUCGAGUGUGAUGCACUUUGUCCUUGUGUGCAAGGAUGGAGCAACAAAAACUAACACCAUUCACGAGCUACCUUUGGUGUUUCAAUCUCUUUUGCAGGAAUUUCAAGAUGUUUUCCCCGAUGAGCUACCUCCGGGUCUACCUCCUCUACGAGGCAUUGAGCAUCGAAUCGACCUCAUCCCCGGAGCGCCACUUCCAAACAAAGCUCCAUACCGUGUCAAUCCAGAAGAAACCAAGGAGAUUCAACGGCAAGUACAACAACUACUCGACAACGGUCAUGUACGUGAAAGCUUAAGCCCUUGUGCCGUUCCCGUUAUACUUGUGCCUAAGCCCGAUGGAAGUUUCCGCUUGUGCUCUGAUUGUAGACCUAUUAAUGCUAUCACCGUUCGCUAUAGGCAUCCCAUUCCUCGCUUAGAUGAUAUGCUUGAUGAACUUAGUGGAGCCAAUUUUUUCUCAAAAAUUGAUCUUAAAAGUGGCUAUUAUCAAAUCCGCAUUCAUGAGGGUGAUGAGUGGAAAACUGCUUUUAAAACCAAAUUUGGCUUAUAUGAGUGGUUGGUUAUGCCUAUGGGUUUAUCGGAAGCUCCCGGAACUUUUGUGCGUCUCAUGCAUCAUGUACUUCGACCUUACAUUGGAAUCUUUGUUGUGGUUUACUUCAAUGAUAUUCUUGUGUUUAGCAAAACCAUGAAAGAGCAUCUUGAUCAUGUUAAGCUUGUUUUGCAAACACUUCGAAAGGAAAGUCUUUAUGCCAACUUGAAAAAAUGCACUUUUGGCGUUGACAAAGUGGUUUUCUUGGGUUUCGUUGUCUCUUCCGAGGGUGUCCAUGUUGAUGAAACUAAAAUUGAAGCAAUUAAAACUUGGCCCCAACCCACCAAUUUGCAACAAGUGCGAAGUUUCCUUGGUCUUGCAAGAUUUUAUCGUCGCUUUGUGAAAUAUUUUAGCACAAUCACCGCUCCUUUGCAUGCUUUGAGCAAGAAGAAUACUCCUUUUGUUUGGGGACCUUUGCAGUCAACCGCUUUUGAUGAGCUCAAGUCUUUGCUUACUCAUGCUCCGAUUCUUGCUUUGCCCAAUUUUGACAAAACUUUUGAGGUUCAUUGUGAUGCAAGUGGUACCGGAAUUGGCGGAGUUUUGAUGCAAGAAAAACGAGCCAUUGCUUAUUUUAGUGAAAAACUUUCCGGUGCUCAACUUAACUAUCCCAUAUAUGACAAAGAAUUGUAUGCUUUAGUGCGUGUACUACAUGUUUGGGAACAUUAUCUUAGACCUCAUGAGUUUGUCAUCCAUACCGAUCAUGAAACGCUUAAGUACUUGAAAGGUCAAACUAAAUUGAACAAGCGUCAUGCCAAAUGGAGUGAAUUUAUUGAAUCUUUCCCAUAUGUGAUCAAGUACAUUAAGGGUAAGGAAAAUGUAGUUGCCGAUGCAUUUUCACGCAUAUGCACGCUUGUCACGCAACUUGAGUUGAAUGUUAUUUGCUUUGAGAAAAUAAAAGAUUUGUAUUCUAAUGAUCCAUCUUUUGCACCUCAUUAUGCUAAAUGUUUGACGCAUACAUCUUGGGAACAAUAUUACCUCAAGGAUGGUUAUCUUAUGAGAGCUAACAAACUAUGCAUCCCGAGUCUUCUCUUCGUUUGCUCCUUUUGCAAGAGGCUCAUGGCGGUGGACUCAUGGGACAUUUUGGACGUGACAAGACCUUCACCACGCUCUCCAAGAACUAUUUUUGGCCCAAGAUGUUUCGCGACGUCUCACGCUUCACCACAAGAUGCUCAACAUGCCGCAAAGCUAAGUCAAAAGCUCAAUCUCAUGGUCUUUACAUGCCUCUUCCUAUUCCUUAUCAACCUUGGGAAGACAUUAGCAUGGACUUUGUACUUGGUUUGCCUAGAACUCAAAAUGGAAAGGAUUCCGUGUUUGUUGUUGUGGAUCGAUUUUCUAAGAUGGCACAUUUCAUUCCUUGCAACAAGGUAGACGAUGCUUCACAUAUUGCAAAUCUCUUUUGUAGGGAAAUCUUGCGCCUCCAUGGAGUACCAAAGACAAUCGUCUCAGACCGCGACGUCAAGUUCUUGAGUUACUUUUGGAAGACCCUAUGCGCCAAGCUCGGAAUCAAGCUCUUGUUCUCAUCCGCAUACCAUCCUCAAACCGACGGCCAAACGGAGGUGACGAACCGGACGCUCUGCGCUCUACUUCGUGUGUUGAUCAAGAAGAACAUCAAGGAGUGGGAGGCGUGUCUACCCAUCGCCGAGUACGCCUACAACCGUGCAAGACAUUCGACGACCGGCAAGUUCCCCUUCGAGGUCGUCUACGGCUUCAACCCGUUGUCACCAUUGGACAUUCUACCUCUACCUCUACAAGAGCGCACCAACCUCGACGCAAGUGCCCGUGCAAGCUACAUCAAUAAGAUGCAUGAAGAUACAAGAACCACCAUCGAGCGCCAAGUACAACGACUAGCGACCAAGCUCAACAUCAACAAGCAACCCAUGAUCUUCAACAUAGGUGAUCUCGUGUGGCUACACCUUCGCAAGGAACGCUUCCCCAAUGAACGCAAGUCCAAACUACUACCUCGAGCCGAUGGACCCUUCAAGGUGUUAGCACGCUACAACAACAACGCCUACAAGCUAGACCUACCAAGCGACAAGUACAAUGUCAGCGAAACAUUCAACGUCAAAGACCUUUUGCCUUUCCAUGGUGAUGAAGAUCUAGAUCCGAGGUCGGAUCCUUUCGAAGGGAGGGGAUAUGAUGCGGAGCAUCCUUCCAUCAUCCCCAUGGACUCUACAUCAACACAUCCAACCCCUCAAGGACCUAUGACUCGAGCACGUGCAAGAGCUCUUGAAACUGAGGUGACAUCACUCCUCUCACAAUUCCCUUUCGAUUCACAUGAGACAUGGUCACUACCUCAAACAGAAAUGCUAUGCAUACUCAGGUACAAAGGAGUCAACCAUGAAGAGGCUAGGAAGCAAGGAGAACCGGAAGCGGAAGGCAUGCAUGAAGACGGAGAAGAAAAAGUAGCAAGGACCAGAGUGGCCGGACGAUCUGGACGGCGGCCCGGAUGAUCCGGACAGAGCCCGGAUGAUCCGGACCCCGGUCCGGACGAUCCGGCUAACUCCACCGAAGGCAACAGAAGCUCCCUCCCGAAGCCGGAUCAUCUGGACCCCGUCCCGGAUCAUCCGGACCCCGCCCGGACGUCCAGACCACCAGCCGGACAUCCGGCCCUGCGCCACCACCAGCCGAGCAGCCGGCUCAUCCGGGCGUCCACCCGGAUCAUCCGGACCAGCCCGGAUCAUCCGGACCCUCGUCCUGAUCAUCUGGCCAGCGCCUGCGUGCGCGUGUUGGGCUGAGCCCAUGUACCCUUUCGCCCCCAACUCUAUAUAUAGGACCCCAUCUCCUCACUUUGAGACUUAGCAUUGGAUUAGCUCAUAUUUGUGUGAGAGCCUUUGCUCAUCCACUCGGUUACUUCUCCUCGGAGAUCAGGACCUCUUCGGAGAAGAUCCCCCAGCGGAUUCAAGACCCCUAUCUAGGGAAGAACAUCAAGGCCUCCUCUUGGAGAUGAACGGUUCCUUUGUAUCCUUACCUUUGUUGACUUUGUAUCUUGUGGAUCUCUUAUGUGUGUGGUGAUCUAGCACUUGUGUGAUCGAUUCCUUGUUGGUUGAGUGAUUCUCUCUCGUUCUCCCCGUGUUUCCCCUCGUGCUUCCG